rnacentral:rRNA from 1 species
GGACCUGACUGCUAUCGGAUUGAUACUAAGCCAUGCGAGUCAUUGUAGCAAUACAAGGCAUACGGCUCAGUAACGCGUAGUCAACCUAACCUAUGGACGGGAAUAACCUCGGGAAACUGAGAAUAAUGCCCGAUAGAACAUUAUGCCUGGAAUGGUUUAUGUUCCAAAUGAUUUAUCGCCGUAGGAUGGGACUGCGGCCUAUCAGUUUGUUGGUGAGGUAAUGGCCCACCAGGACUAUUACAGGUACGGGCUCUGAGAGGAGUAGCCCGGAGAUGGGUACUGAGACACGGACCCAGGCCCUAUGGGGCGCAGCAGGCGAGAAAACUUUGCAAUGUGCGAAAGCACGACAAGGUUAAUCCGAGUGGUUUCUGCUAAAGAAACCUUUUGUCAGUCCUAGAAACACUGAUGAAUAAGGGGUGGGCAAGUUCUGGUGU